rnacentral:rRNA from 1 species
UUGGAAAGUAAAAAAUCGUAACAAGGUCUCCGUAGGUGAACCUGCGGAGGGAUCAUUACAAGAACGCCCGGGCUUCGGCCUGGUUAUUCAUAACCCUUUGUUGUCCGACUCUGUUGCCUCCGGGGCGACCCUGCCUUCGGGCGGGGGCUCCGGGUGGACACUUCAAACUCUUGCGUAACUUUGCAGUCUGAGUAAACUUAAUUAAUAAAUUAAAACUUUUAACAACGGAUCUCUUGGUUCUGGCAUCGAUGAAGAACGCAGCGAAAUGCGAUAAGUAAUGUGAAUUGCAGAAUUCAGUGAAUCAUCGAAUCUUUGAACGCACAUUGCGCCCCCUGGUAUUCCGGGGGGCAUGCCUGUUCGAGCGUCAUUUCACCACUCAAGCCUCGCUUGGUAUUGGGCAACGCGGUCCGCCGCGUGCCUCAAAUCGUCCGGCUGGGUCUUCUGUCCCCUAAGCGUUGUGGAAACUAUUCGCUAAAGGGUGUUCGGGAGGCUACGCCGUAAAACAACCCCAUUUCUAAGGUUGACCUCGGAUCAGGUAGGGAUACCCGCUGAACUUAAGCAUAUCAAUAAGCCGGAGGAA